AUCUCUUUGGAGACGACCAACAAAAUUGGAAAAAUACAGAUAAAAUUAACAUGAUCCCUGUGCAAGGAUGGUAUUUGCAAAUUAAGAAUAGUUUAACAGCAAA
rnacentral:snRNA from 1 species